UACGUAGGGACCAAGCGUUGUUCGGAUUUACUGGGCGUAAAGGGCGCGUAGGCGGCAAUUCAAGUCAGUUGUGAAAUCUCCGAGCUUAACUCGGAACGGUCAACUGAUACUGCUUUGCUAGAGUACAGAAGGGGCAAUCGGAAUUCUUGGUGUAGCGGUGAAAUGCGUAGAUAUCAAGAGGAACACCUGAGGUGAAGACGGGUUGCUGGGCUGAUACUGACGCUGAGGCGCGAAAGCGUGGGGAGCAAACAGG
rnacentral:rRNA from 1 species